rnacentral:rRNA from 1 species
UACGGGGGGAGCAAGCGUUGUUCGGAUUUAUUGGGCGUAAAGAGCUCGUAGGUGGUUCGGUAAGUCGGAUGUGAAAUCUCCAGGCUCAACCUGGAGGGGUCAUUCGAUACUGCCGUGACUAGAGGUCGGUAGGGGAGUGUGGAAUUCCUGGUGGAGCGGUGAAAUGCGCAGAUAUCAGGAGGAACACCCGUAGCGAAGGCGGCACUCUGGGCCGAUACUGACGCUGAGGAGCGAAAGCGUGGGGAGCGAACAGG